GUUGGUGUAGUGUAGUGGUUAUCAUGUCAGUCUUACACACUAAAGGUCCCUAGUUCAAUCCUAGGCAUCAACA
rfam:Ipomoea nil DNA, scaffold: scaffold1074, cultivar: Tokyo-kokei standard.